rnacentral:tRNA from 1 species
AAGCCCCGGAGCCCUUUUUGGGCUCUUCUUCAAACUUGCAAUUUGACGUGCUCUCACCGCGAAGCU